GAUGAACGCUGGCGGCGUGCCUAAUACAUGCAAGUAGAACGCUGACGGAGGAGCUUGCUUCUCUGCAUGCGUGGCGAACGGGUGAGUAACGCGUAGGUAACCUGCCUGGUAGCGGGGGGUAACUAUUGGAAACGCUACAUAAUACCGCAUAAGAGUAGCUGUUGCAUGCCAUUUCCUUAACAGUUGCAAUUGCCUCUCUACCAGAUGGACCUGCGUUGUGUUAGCUAGUUGGUGGGGUAACGGCUCACCAAGGCGAGGGUACAUGGCCGACCUGAAGGGGGGGACGACCAAACUUGGAAUUAGACCAGGCCCAGACUCCUACGGGAGGCAGCAGGAGGGGAUCUUCGGAAAUGGAGGGAAAUCUGACCGCACAAAGCCGCGGGAGUGAAGAAAGGUUUCGGAUCGGAAAGCUCUUUUGUAAGGGAAGAAAGAGGGUGAGAGUAAAAAGUGCACCCUAUGACGGUAUCUGAACAGAAAGAGACGGCUAACUACGUG
rnacentral:rRNA from 1 species